GACCAUGUGUAACCACACCAGCCCAGGACCUCCACAUCCUAUGCUAUCCCAUGCCCAACCAUGGAUGCCCCCUUGCCUGGUCAUGUGAAAUCCAUAGAUUAGGGCCUAAUUWAUUUAUUUCAAUUCUUAUAUGAACUGUAACUCAACAAAACCUUUGAAAUUGUUGCGUGUUGCGUUUGUAUUUUUGUUAAGUAUAGAUGGGUUUUCUACCCGCUGUGGGAAAACACUGCAGGCAGUGAGUCAGCCUUUCUGACAGCAGUGGGCUGGGAAGAGGUUUGGUGAGAUUGCUUCAUCGUUGAUUUACUGCUCCCAUUAGGGCGUUCUGAUAAUGGGCCCAGUUGGCAGACAGCUCUGGCAUGGUGGAGGACUUACAGCACCGUCCAGCACUUGAUUUGAUUCCUUCACAGCAGUGACGAGAAUUCUCAGAAUCCAGCCAUAAACUAUGAGCUGGUCCUGAGGAAGUGGAGUGAGCUGCUACCUGGUGGGG